CUAGCGAUCGAAGCCGCCGCAAGUCACCGCCGCUAGCCUGGAGGCCUCAUGCCGCCACCGCUCGCCCUUUUCUCCGUAGGUCACCCACGCACCAGGGACCCGGGGCCGUUUCCUCCUCACCACCAGGCUGGAGCCUGGAGGAGGCCCGAGGAGGUGACCAUGAGGAGCGCGCAGCCGCCGGAGCCAUGGGUAGAUCCAGCCGGGAGCGUCGGCAACCAUCCCUCCUUCCGGCGGCGAUGAAGAAUUGAAGAGUCUUGAGGAGAAUGGGCGCAUGGGCCGUGCGCGUCUCCCGCGCUAGGAGCCACCGGUCCUCGUCAUCUGCUAGGAUCCACGAGGAAUCGAUCCAUAUAAUGUUUGCGGGGAGCUCGGUUAGUGUCGAUGCCUCAAGGGUUUAUGCAUAUCAAUUCCAUGUUGCUUAAAGCCACUGUAACCAUGGCUACUGGUUUUCAGGUAGGUGCCAAAUUUGCACUUGUGUGCAUAGAUGAACCUAUUCUGGAUAAUGAGGAGUUAGUAAGGUAAGUUUCUGACUGCAAGAGAAUUGGUGAUGCUUUUGCUUCAGGAUACUUAAUUGUCCAACCUCCAGCUUUUGUAAGUCGGAGUCUUUUCUUCCAUAUUCCACAAUUAUAUUUGUGAGCAUUUAAUCACAUAACUGUAAGGUCCAUUUUCCUUUUACAGAUUCAAAAGAAGCAUAAUGGAGUUGCAGCUGAACCGUUCUUCGGUUGGAUGAAGAAGCAAAUGUAAUUAGAAGACUUUACUUAGCAAUAAUUGUAGUUUGCAUUGAUGGAUUGAAAAAUGUAACACCAUUCAUAAGAUCUUUUUCUAUGGUCGAAUUGAUGCAAAUGCUAUGGUGUAAUAUUCUUCAUAGAUGAGUUCUCUAUAGUAAAAUAUAUAUGAAUGAUAUGAUGUCUAGCCAAUAACAUUGGUAUGUAUUUAUUGUAAUGCAUAUGUAUCCUACACUCUUGUAUAUUCAUAAUAAAUACCUUGAUAUUUUCAA